rnacentral:lncRNA from 1 species
UGCCCAUCACAGAGAGCUCCUGAUGUCUGCCCAUUUCAAGGUAAUAAAGACUCAGUCGUAGCGCUAGCUACAUAAGCUAGGAAGGGGCUCAGUGGAAAAGAGAGAUAACAGUUGAAGAUGCCUUUAUGUCCUCUGGAACACUAAGUACAUUUGAAUGAUCAGAGAGGCCCCAGAAGCAGGCCGUCUUCAGAGGGUGUUUUUCUAAGGAGUUUGAACUAUGGGAUCCAAGAAACACAGGAAAGCCCCAGUGACUCUGAGAGCAAACCACAGCCACAGGAAAAUCCAGCCUCAAGAACCAACUGGUUUCACGUUUCAUUUGAAUUCAAAGUAAUAUAUGGAGAUCUGACAAUCUUACACUUGUCUGAUAAGUCUACACUAGCCAGCUUUAUGCUAGCAAAGAAAUUUAACAAAAUGGCAAUGUAUCUACAUAUGUGCUGGAGGUUUCAAUUGUUAUGAAGGAAAAUGACAGGUAGAUAUAAAAAAGACAUGAAUUUUUCUGGAUGUCAGCCCUGGUAAAGUUCAUUUCUUUAUAAAUCUUUUAGACAUCCUUGAUUUCCCUAGGUGACUAUUUUACGUAGCAGCAUGAAUUCCAGAAUUUUCUGUCAUGUAAUUUUUUUGCUAUAACUUUAUAAAUAUAUAGUGCAAUCUUCAAAGCCAAGACUACAUUCUUAAGUAAAUAAAUGUAUAUAAAACUUAAAGUAGAAACAUCUUUCUGAUGUUUCAUUUACACUUUCCCAUUUAGUGUCCUUCACUGUAGAGAGAUAGAGAGAGAAGAAGAUUAGCAAUCAGAACAGGAAAGAGAAGGAAGAGAAAGAGGAGGAAGGAGGAAGGUCCUCUAGCAACUAAUUAAACCAUUUGGUGAGCUAGCUGGAAGGGACAGAUCGACUUUCUCACUGCUUCAACAACAUCAUGUUUUUUCUAAAUAGGACCCUAGAUGAAGAAGCCAAUACAGAGUGAAACCAUUAGUGUCUUGUUAAAACAAGGUCACGGCAUAUGAUGACGUUUCCAGGAAGACUCGUCUCCAGCCAUUCAGCUAAAUAUGGCAUCUGGGAGAUAUGCCCUGCAAUGAUGGAUGUCUUUGAAAUUUUUCAAAGAACCAAUGGGCUAGCUAAAAAUUGAAAAGAAAGACCUUCCAUGUUUUCCCUGGAGAACUAAAUAAUAUUAGUUUAUGCUGUAAUGAUAAAAGUUUUAUUAAGCCUAAUGGUCAGUGGCUACGUAUUGGCCCCAAGGAACAUGUGGAAGGGGCAGAAAGCAAUAUAAAACUAUUAGAAUCCUUUCUUUUAUGACUUCUUCAACCAUUAAUUAGCUAAAACUUUCUUUAGUAACACAUCUAUCUUCAUCUGUCCUCUCUAAAGUAGACUGUGCCUGCGUCUGUGCCCAAGUGCCCAUUGUUUGGAAGCAUUUAGUAUUUCUUACGUUGUGAUAGUUUUAACUCUGCUAGCUCAGGCUUUAAGCAGGUCUUCUUUUUAAUUCUAGUGAAAUGAGAUUACUGUGGUGGAGUUCAUGUUGGACCAAUCAGUUGCUUUUAGCUUUAAGGUCUUUAAACAUAGUCCUCUUGUCUUUCUAGAAGACAUGAUGUCCCAUCUGUAUUACCUUGGUACUCAAGUGAUGUGGGAAAUAUACUUGAGGUUGUAGAUUACCUUGCUCAAUAGCGAGGACUUACUGAAGGUUUACAAAUACCUUCAGAACUGUCAAGGCCAAAGAGCUCUUCAUACCAGAUAAAAUGAUAUCCUUCGGAGAUGUAACCUACCUACUAGAACUGAAUGGUUGCUUUGUACAUGCAUUUCUGCAUAACAUGUCAGCCUCUGGUAAUCAUGCCUUGCCUUUUAUUCUGUACCUGGAUUUAGUCUUUCCUGGCUUUAUCAUAAAAUCUACUCCAUUUGUUUUACUCAGAAUCACUCCAAAAAAAAGGAGAGAUUAAAAACACCCCUAUAAUGUUAUAAUUAUUACAUAUUUCCUGUGGGAAGCAUAUUGAGAUGAACAUAUCAGACUGUGAGUUUGCUCUUCUAAGUCUUCCCUCUCCUGUUGCUGUCGUUGUUUCAUAUGUUGAUCCCCAUUUGAUUUGGAAAUAAUGGUAUUUGGUUGGUUUAGUUUGAUGUUAAUUUGCUUUCUUCCAUGUUUAGGGCUGUGCAUACAUACUUAGAUAAUGUUGAACUUUGAGUCACUUUUCUUAUUUAGGUAAUUAUUUCACAAGGAUUUAUAAUGGAUCAUAUAUACAUAGAAAUUGUUGCCUCCAGAAAGUAGAUUACUUAAUGCUAUUUAAGGCACUGACAGCACUGGCUGCAAUACAGCAAUUACUCUGGAGCAGGUUUUUUUUUCCUAGAAUUUUAAAAUUAAUAUACUACCCCUGGAGAUCAAGCAUUCUCAUAUUUUUCUGUUUAUAAUCAUUACAUGUGACCUACAAAUGUUCAGUAGGCAUUGAACAUGAGUAUUUAGAAAACACUUCACGGCUGCAUCAACCAAUUUGAACCAAAUAAGUCAACUUUGUAAUGAGAACACAUACAUGCAAAAGACAUUUGUGUGUGGAUGUGUACACACAUAUCCAUAAACAUAUAUGUUAGAGUAUGUAUGUGUAUCUAAUUGGAUAAGAGUAGUAAAGUUUAACCUCAUGAUCUCUAUAGACUAAGGUAUGAUUCUAACUGUCAGAAUAAUCUUUCUGAAAUAAGCCAUGUAGGAACAAGGACAUUUAUUAAGGAAAUAAUUCACUUUCCCCCACAAUCAUUGUGGUCCCUGAAGUCUACUUACCAUGCCAUACCUUGUUCCCAGAAAAAAAGGUAUUUUUAAAAUUCAGUGUCUUUCAAGUUAAAUCCUCUUAUGCUACUUGAAAACUCUUCAUUGGCUUUCUUUUUGCUGAACUGUUGCAAAAACACUUGACACCAAUAUAUUGUCUUACGAAUAAUUUGAUUUGAAGGCUGUUAAUCAAACAAAUCCAGGGCCUUGAACACGCCAAGUAUGAACUUUACCCCUGAAUCACACCCCCAAUUCUCCCUCAAAUGAUUAUUAAGGAUUUAAAAAGAUGCAGUUGCCAUAGCACAAGAUCGCUAGAACUUAUUUAUCCUACAUGAACUUGGGGAAACUGCUCAUUUCCCUCCCUGUAGCCUGUGUUAACCACUAUUAGUUUGCUUCCUGUGAGUGUUUCAUUGAUGUGCCCUUAAAGUGGAACCAUACUGAGUUUUUGUCCUCCUCUGAUAAGUUUUUCUCACUCAGCAGAGUUUUCAUGUAUUAUCUGUGUUGUGUAUACUUUGGCAUUUCCAUGUUCAUAAAAGAUGAAUAGUAUUUCAUUCGUUUCAUGCACCAUAUUUUUAAAAUCUGUUCAUCUGUAUUCUGAGUGGAAACAAGGAGACAUACAACACUGGCCGCUUUAAUGGCUUUAUGGAUACAAAAUCAAUACAGAAGCAGU